rnacentral:rRNA from 1 species
AACGAACGCUGGCGGCAUGCCUAACACAUGCAAGUCGAACGAGACCACCGGGACUAGUUGCGCACGGGUGCGUAACGCGGGGGAACCUGCCCUUAUGCUCGGAAUAACUCCCCGAAAGGGGUGCUAAUACCGGAUAAUGUCUGCGGACCAAAGAUUUAUCGUCCUUGGAUGGGCCCGCGUUGGUUUAGCUAGUUGGUAGGGUAAAAGCCUACCAAGGCGACGAUCCAUAGCUGGUCUGAGAGGAUGGUCAGCCACACUGGGACUGAGCCACGGCCCGGACUCCUGCGGGAGGCGGCAGUGGGGAAUAUUGGAAAAUGGGCGGAAGCCUGAUCCAGCAAUGCCGCGUGAGUGAUGAAGGCCUUAGAGUUGUGAAGCUCUUUUACCCGGGAUGAUAAUGACAGUACCGGGAGAAUAAGCUCCGGCUAACUCCGUG